rnacentral:rRNA from 1 species
AUUGAACGCUGGCGGCAGGCCUAACACAUGCAAGUCGAACGAGUGGCGGACGGGUGAGUAAUGUCUGGGAAACUGCCUGAUGGAGGGGGAUAACUACUGGAAACGGUAGCUAAUACCGCAUACCAUCAGAUGUGCCCAGAUGGGAUUAGCUAGUUGGUGGGGUAACGGCUCACCAAGGCGACGAUCCCUAGCUGGUCUGAGAGGAUGACCCGGCAGACUGGAAAUGGGAACCGGGUCAGACUCCUACGGGAGGCAGCAGGUGGGAAUAUUGGAAAAAGGGCGCAAGCCGUAUGCAGCCAUUCCGCGGGUAUGAAGAAGGCCUUCGGGGUUGAAAGUACGUUCAGGGGGGAGGCGGUACCCGCAGAAGAAGCACCGGCUAACUCCGUGCCAGCAGCCGCGGUAAUAC